rnacentral:rRNA from 1 species
GACGAACGCUGGCGGCGUGCUCAACACAUGCAAGUCGAACGGAAAGGCCCUGCUUUUGUGGGGUGCUCGAGUGGCGAACGGGUGAGUAACACGUGAGUAACCUGCCCUUGACUUUGGGAUAACUUCAGGAAACUGGGGCUAAUACCGGAUAGGAGCUCCUGCUGCAUGGUGGGGGUUGGAAAGUUUCGGCGGUUGGGGAUGGACUCGCGGCUUAUCAGCUUGUUGGUGGGGUAGUGGCUUACCAAGGCUUUGACGGGUAGCCGGCCUGAGAGGGUGACCGGCCACAUUGGGACUGAGAUACGGCCCAGACUCCUACGGGAGGCAGCAGUGGGGAAUAUUGCACAAUGGGCGGAAGCCUGAUGCAGCAACGCCGCGUGCGGGAUGACGGCCUUCGGGUUGUAAACCGCUUUCGCCUGUGACGAAGCGUGAGUGACGGUAAUGGGUGAAGAAGCACCGGCUAACUACGUGCCAGCAGCCGCGGUGAUACGUAGGGUGCGAGCGUUGUCCGGAUUUAUUGGGCGUAAAGGGCUCGUAGGUGGUUGAUCGCGUCGGAAGUGUAAUCUUGGGGCUUAACCCUGAGCGUGCUUUCGAUACGGGUUGACUUGAGGAAGGUAGGGGAGAAUGGAAUUCCUGGUGGAGCGGUGGAAUGCGCAGAUAUCAGGAGGAACACCAGUGGCGAAGGCGGUUCUCUGGGCCUUUCUUGACGCUGAGGAGCGAAAGCGUGGGGAGCGAACAGGCUUAGAUACCCUGGUAGUCCACGCUGUAAACGGUGGGUACUAGGUGUGGGGUCCAUUCCACGGGUUCCGUGCCGUAGCUAACGCUUUAAGUACCCCGCCUGGGGAGUACGGCCGCAAGGCUAAAACUCAAAGGAAUUGACGGGGCCCCGCACAAGCGGCGGAGCAUGCGGAUUAAUUCGAUGCAACGCGUAGAACCUUACCUGGGUUUGACAUGGAUCGGGAGUGCUCAGAGAUGGGUGUGCCUCUUUUGGGGUCGGUUCACAGGUGGUGCAUGCCUGUCGUCAGCUCGUGUCGUGAGAUGUUGGGUUAAGUCCCGCAACGAGCGCAACCCUUGUUCACUGUUGCCAGCACGUUAUGGUGGGGACUCAGUGGAGACCGCCGGGGUCAACUCGGAGGAAGGUGGGGAUGACGUCAAGUCCUCAUGCCCCUUAUGUCCAGGGCUUCACGCAUGCUACAAUGGCUGGUACAGAGAGUGGCGAGCCUGUGAGGGUGAGCGAAUCUCGGAAAGCCGGUCUCAGUUCGGAUUGGGGUCUGCAACUCGACCUCAUGAAGUCGGAGUCGCUAGUAAUCGCAGAUCAGCAACGCUGCGGUGAAUACGUUCCCGGGGCU